rnacentral:rRNA from 1 species
AGAGUUUGAUCAUGGCUCAGAGUGAACGCUGGCGGCAGGCCUAAUACAUGCAAGUCGAACGGCAGCACAGCAGAGCUUGCUCUGUGGGUGGCGAGUGGCGGACGGGUGAGGAAUACGUGGGAAUCUGCCCAGUCGUGGGGGAUAACGUAGGGAAACUUACGCUAAUACCGCAUGCGCCCUUCGGGGGAAAGCCGGGGACCUUCGGGCCUGGCGCGAUUGGAUGAGCCCACGUCGGAUUAGCUAGUUGGCGGGGUAAAGGCCCACCAAGGCGACGAUCCGUAGCUGGUCUGAGAGGAUGAUCAGCCACACUGGAACUGAGACACGGUCCAGACUCCUACGGGAGGCAGCAGUAGGGAAUAUUGGACAAUGGGCGCAAGCCUGAUCCAGCCCAUGCCGCGUGAGUGAAGAAGGCCCUCGGGUUGUAAAGCUCUUUUGUCCGGAAAGAAAAGCGCCGGGUUAAUACCCUGGUGUCCUGACGGUACCGGAAGAAUAAGCACCGGCUAACUUCGUG